GCUCAGUUGGUAGAGCAUGGUGUUUGCAACGCCAGCAUGGUGUGUGCAACGCCAGGGUUGUGGGUUCGAUUCCCAC
rnacentral:tRNA from 1 species